AGAGUUUGAUCAUGGCUCAGAGUGAACGCUGGCGGCGUGCCUAAGACAUGCAAGUCGUACGCGAAAGCCCGCAAGGGUGAGUAAAGUGGCGCACGGGUGAGUAAUACUUAGAUAAUGCGCCCAUUCGCUGGGAAUAACCAGGCGAAAGCUUGGCUAAUGCCGAAUGAACCGCGCGGGACUCCGGUCCUGUUCGGUAAAGCUGCAAAGCGCGAAUGGAGUAGUCUAAGUCCCAUUAGUUAGUUGGUGAGGUAAUGGCUCACCAAGACAUCGAUGGGUAGCUGGUCUGAGAGGACGACCAGCCACACUGGAACUGGAACACGGUCCAGACUCCUACGGGAGGCAGCAGUUAGGAAUUUUGCGCAAUGGACGAAAGUCUGACGCAGCAACGCCGCGUGAGUGAAGAAGGCCUUCGGGUUGUAAAGCUCUUUUAGUUGGGGCGAAAACAAUGACGGUACCAACAGAAAAAGCACCGGCUAACCCUGUGCCAGCAGCCGCGGUAAUACAGGGGGUGCAAGCGUUACUCGGAAUUAUUGGGCGUAAAGAGCGCGUAGGCGGCUCGGUAAGUUUGGUGUGAAAUCCCUGGACUCAAUUCAGGAAGUGCAUUGAAUACUGCCGGGCUGGAGUGUUGGAGAGGACAGCGGAAUUCCAGGUGUAGAGGUGAAAUUCGUAUAUAUCUGGAGGAACAACAGUAGCGAAAGCGGCUGUCUGGACAAAUUACUGACGCUGAGGCGCGAAAGCGUGGGGAGCAAACAGGAUUACAUACCCCUGAUAGUCCACGUCCGUAAACGAUGUGCACUAGAUGUCGGGAGACUUACCCUCCCCGUGUCACAGUUAACCAGUAGGUGCCCAGUCUGGAAGUACGGUCGCAAGAUAAAACUCAUAGGAAUUGACGGGGCCCAGCACAAACGGCU
rnacentral:rRNA from 1 species